AAUAACAGAGUAUUUUUAUAAAAUUAGUAUAUACUAGCUACAUUUGAACAUUGCACAAAUAAUACUAGAUUUAUAUCAACAAAAUAUAGUUCUUUUAUAUAUUAGGACCAAUAGGCUUGGCUUGUGUUCUACGUCGUGCUAACUCGGACAUGACAACAGGACCAAUAUGAGGUGAUCUUGGACUGCUAGACAUUGCUCUAUAUGUUGCAGCUACUGCUAUCUAAAAAUAUAUUUAUUAAUUUUAUCAAUUUAAUCAUGAAUAUUUAUAUUUCAAAUAAUUUUAAUACAUAAUUUUUAUAUUUCAAAUACAUAUUGAGCAAAUAUACCUUUAGGCUAUGUGGAUCUUUAGUACUUUCAGGUAAUAUUUUUUGUGGAAGACGAUGACGAUUUGCAAUCCACGGAUAUUUUAAUAUGGCAGCUGCAGUAGGCCUUCGAUUAGGAUCAACAUGUAACAUUCUUUUAACAAGUUCUUUUGCUUCAUUCGAAAUUUGACACCAUAUGCCACUUUCGACAUCAAUAUAACCAGGUCCAAUACGAUCUAGUAUAUCCGUUGCACUAUCACCAGGACUAUUGCGAAAUGGUGUAUAUCUAAAAAAAUGUAUGUAAUGUAAUGAUGUAAUGUAAUAGUUUACAAGUUAUACAUAA